GACGAACGCUGGCGGCGUGCCUAAUACAUGCAAGUCGAACGCUGAAGGAGGAGCUUGCUUCUCUGGAUGAGUUGCGAACGGGUGAGUAACGCGUAGGUAACCUGCCUGGUAGCGGGGGAUAACUAUUGGAAACGAUAGCUAAUACCGCAUAAGAGUAGAUGUUGCAUGACAUUUGCUUAAAAGGUGCAAUUGCAUCACUACCAGAUGGACCUGCGUUGUCUUAGCUAGUUGGUGGGGUAACGGCUCACCAAGGCGACGAUACAUAGCCGACCUGAGAGGGUGAUCGGCCACACUGGGACGGAGACACGGCCCAGACUCCUACGGGAGGCAGCAGUAGGGAAUCUUCGGCAAUGGACGGAAGGCUGAGCGAGCAACGCCGCGUGAGUGAAGAAGGGUUUCGGAACGUAAAGCUCUGUUGUAAGAGAAGAACGAGUGUGAGAGUGGAAAGUUCACACUGUGACGGUAUCUUACCAGAAAGGGACGGCUAACUACGUG
rnacentral:rRNA from 1 species